GAAUAACACAUGGCUGUGAAUGAGCCCUGUCACUGUGAUCAGGCUCCUCCUUCUGAUCCACCAACUUAGUGUUGAUGAAGACUCAACAGAGAUCACAGCCUUCUUUAUACUCGCUGUAGCUCACAGUUACUCAACACUGCAGACAUGACGCCUCUGUUCAUCUCAGUGUUGCUGGCUGCUGUGUGCCUUGAAUGCAGAGCACAAAAAGACAACGUGCUACAAGCAAAAGAAGAGGUGACUGCCACUGAAGGAGAGGCAGUAACACUUGGCUGUCAAUAUAACAGCAGUUCAACAAAUAAUUAUCUCUUCUGGUACAAAGAGGAUGGAGACAACAGCCCCAAAUUCAUACUGAGUCGAAUUAAACUGGACCAAGGGAACACACCAGACGAGUUUAAGGAGAGAUUUUCAUCCACACUGGAUUCCACCUUAAGAUCAGUUCCUCUGAAGAUCCAGAAGCUUCAGCUGUCUGACUCUGCUGUGUACUACUGUGCUCUGCAGCCCACAGUGACAGGAAACACCAAGACUCUGUACAAAAACCUUUGGAGCAAAGACAACAGAAUACUCCACAACGUCCACUAGAGGGAGUCACACACUGUUAAACCAAUACGUUCAUUGAACUGAUGAGAGGAACUGAAAAAAUAACAUCAAGAGGUGAUUGGCCCCGCCCAUUGAGCUUCAACUCAACCAAUGACAUUAUUUCUUACUCAUUCUACUGCAGUGAAAGAACAUUGCUCAUCUGCUGUCUGUCUGGCUUUAACAACUCCAAAGACAUGUUGCUUUACCUCUUUUUACUUUUCUCUCACUUUACAGGUGAGUUUAAGAACAGAGAGUUAAGUUUUG